GAAUGUGAGAAUGAUAUGGCUGCAACAUCUGUCACCCCGUUGAUCACCAAGGUUGAUUUUGGCUGAUCUGGUUGAUCACCAGGUUGAUUUGCUAAUCACUGGGGUUGAUUCUGGCUAAGUGGGUGUCCCCUUCCUCCCUCCACACACCAUCUGUGUCCCUCCUGAAGCUGCGUGCUCAAGUUGAAAAGGAUGCCCAUCCCGAUAGAGGAGGAUUGUUCUUCGGUCAAGGGUAGCUGCGUUCCCCUGUUAGAACAUCCAAAAAAGCUAUUUGGGUUCUUAAAUUGAGAUGGGGGGAGUAGGAGGACUAUAGACUAGCUCCACGGUUAGUUGAAGUCACAGGUCUGUAGGCCAUUCUCU
rnacentral:snRNA from 1 species